AAUAUCCUAACAAAAAUAUAUAAUAAUAUAUUGUGUAGCUAAAUAUUGUGUUUGAAUAAAAAAUAAAUAUAAUAAUUUAGAUUAGUUUUUCUUUUGUUAGAAAAACCUUGUAUAUUUAAAUUAAAAUAAUACGCAACAUAGUUUAUGUAUAAAGCGUUUGUCAAAAGAGAUAACAAAAAUUAAAAUAAAAGAAAAUAUAAAUAAUUGGAUAUCUUAAUCAUGUCAAAGACGAAAAAGCCCAUUUAAAUAAUAAGAAAAACUUAACAAAUUAAUUUAAUUCUAAAUCAAACAUAAUUGUCUAAAAUGAUAUUUUUAAUUAGUAGUUCCUUUAUCAACAUCUAGAUGCUUCUAGAAGACUCCAAUAUCAUUCGAUUAACACCAACGCCUACCUGUCUUUUUUCACAACCCUAAAUUCUCA
rnacentral:lncRNA from 1 species